rnacentral:snRNA from 1 species
GUGGUCACUUCAGCAGUACAUAUACUAAAAUUGGAACAAUACAGAGAAGAUUAGCAUGGUCCCUGCACAAGGAUGACAUGCAAAUUCGUGAAGUGUUCAAUAUUUUU